GCCAGGCGUGGUGGUGGGCGCCCGUAAUCCCAGCUACUUGGGAGGCUGAGGCAGGAGAAUCGUUUGAACCCGGGAGGCGGAGGUUGCAGUGAGCUGAGAUCAUGCCACUGCACUCUAGCCUGGGUGACAGAACGAGACCCUGUCUCAA
rfam:Gorilla gorilla gorilla genomic chromosome, chr19, whole genome shotgun sequence